AUCGAACGCUAACGGCGUGCUUAACAUAUGCAAGUCGAACGGCAGCACGGCAGUAGCAAUACUGUGGGUGGCGAGUGGCGGACGGGUGAGUAAUGCAUAGGAAUCUGCCUUGUAAUGGGGGAUAACCCGGGGAAACUCGGGCUAAUACCGCAUAAUCUUUACGAAGCAAAGUGGGGGACCGUAAGGCCUCACGUUAUAAGAUGAGCCUAUGUUGGAUUAGCUAGUUGGUGGGGUAAAGGCCUACCAAGGCGACGGUCCAUAGCUGGUCUGAGAUGAUGAUCAGCCACACUGGGACUGAGCAACGGCCCAGACUCCUACGGGAGGCAGCAGUGGGGAAUAUUGGACAAUGGGGGAAACCCUGAUCCAGCAACGCCGUGUGUGUGAAGAAGGCCUUAGGGUUGUAAAGCACUUUCAGUAGGGAAGAAAAGCUUAAGGGUAAUACCCUUGAGUAUUGACGUUACCUACAGAAGAAGCACUGGCUAACUCUGUGCCAGCCGCCGCCGUAA
rnacentral:rRNA from 1 species